rnacentral:tRNA from 1 species
AGAUAUAUAGCUCAGUGGUAGAGUGCCUGCCUUGCAUGCAUGAAGUCCUGGUUUCAAGCUCCAGUACAAUAA